CUCCCCCUAGCCUCCCUCCCGGGACUCUGAGCCCCGGAAAGGUAGAAACCGGAUCGUGAAGGGGAUGCCUAGUAGACCAGGCGGUUGAGAGCGUCCUGAGUAGCUCUGUGUCCCAGGUCCCGUGCAGGCCUUUCCCAGCUCAAUCCACUUCACGCCAUGUAGCCCAGUGACGCAUCCGAUGGCUUUGCUUUGAUAAUAAUGUGGCAGAGAGGGGCUAAAAACAGUUUAAAUUAUUCCUUUUAAAAAUCAACCUGCAAACUCCCAACCUGCUAGACAUGGAUGUGAAAAACCCCAAUAGCCACAAGCCACUUUCCUGGAAAUGCAAGGUUGCUCAGCCUUGGAGCAUUAGCCCGCUGAGUCAUGCAGUGCCAGCACUAAUAAAAUGCAACUUCCUACGAUA